GUACGGCGAGUGAAGCGGCAACAGCUCAAAUUUGAAAUCUGGCUUCGGCCCGAGUUGUAAUUUGCAGAGGAAGCUUUAGGCGCGGCACCUCCUGAGUCCCCUGGAACGGGGCGCCACAGAGGGUGAGAGCCCCGUAUAGUUGGAUGCCUAGCCUGUGUAAAGCUCCUUCGACGAGUCGAGUAGUUUGGGAAUGCUGCUCAAAAUGGGAGGUAAAUUUCUUCUAAAGCUAAAUACCGGCCAGAGACCGAUAGCGCACAAGUAGAGUGAUCGAAAGAUGAAAAGCACUUUGAAAAGAGGGUUAAAUAGCACGUGAAAUUGUUGAAAGGGAAGCGCUUGUGACCAGACUUGCGCCGGGCUGAUCAUCCGGUGUUCUCACCGGUGCACUCUGCCCGGCUCAGGCCAGCAUCGGUUCUCGCGGGGGGAUAAAGGCCCUGGGAACGUAGCUCCUCCGGGAGUGUUAUAGCCCGGGGCGUAAUGCCCUCGCGGGGACCGAGGUUCGCGCUCUGCAAGGAUGCUGGCGUAAUGGUCAUCAGCGACCC
rnacentral:rRNA from 1 species